AACGAACGCUGGCGGCGUGCCUAACACAUGCAAGUCGAACGAGAAAGGGGCUUCGGCUCCGAGUAAAGUGGCGCACGGGUGAGUAACACGUGGGUAACCUGCCUCUAAGAUUGGGAUAACUCGUCGAAAGAUGAACUAAUACCGAAUAAGACCACAGUUUCUGCGGGGACAGGGGUCAAAGGUAGCCUCUGCUUGCAAGCUAUCAAUUAGAGAUGGGCCUGCGCACCAUUAGCUAGUUGGUAGGGUAACGGCCUACCAAGGCAAAGAUGGUUAGCUGGUCUGAGAGGAUGAUCAGCCACACUGGAACUGAGACACGGUCCAGACUCCUACGGGAGGCAGCAGUGGGGAAUAUUGCGCAAUGGGCGAAAGCCUGACGCAGCAACGCCGCGUGAGUGAUGAAGGCCUUCGGGUCGUAAAGCUCUGUCGGAAGGAACGAAUGCUCCUGAGGUUAAUAGCCUCAGGAGGUGACGGUACCUUCAAAGGAAGCACCGGCUAACUCUGUGCCAGCCGCCGCCGUAAAAC
rnacentral:rRNA from 1 species